GCCAGAAGUGGUGAGAAGAGGCGAUGUUGCUGGAGAGCAGGAACUGUAGUAACAUUGUUAGGGGCCCGGGCACAGGUGGUUCUGAGCCAGUCCAGCCCGGAGAUUGUACCGUGAGCGGCUUUGCUCUCAGCAGCCACGGGAUGAACUGGGACCGACAGGCUCUGGGGAAGGGGCUGGAGUGGCUGAUCUACUAUUUUACAGCGUCUGACAACAGCUACUCCCCGGCAGUCCAGGGGCGAUUCACACCCUCCAAGGACAGCUCCAGCUUCUACCUACCCAGGAGCAGCCUGAAGCCCGAGGACACCGCGGUGUAGCCCUGGGCGAGAGACCCAGUGAGGGGAAGCCGGUCUGGGCCCCGACGCAAACCUCCCCUGGUGCUCGCUUAACAAAAAGAAGCCCCCAGCAAGUGGCGCUCCGGAGCUCCCCGCCGCGAGGGGCCCCUGGCCGCAAACACGCUCCGACCUGGGCCGGCUGGUCUCCCGCCUUUGUCCCCUCUCCCGGCAUCCCCAAGACCGACAGUCGCAGAACAAACGCCGGCCAAAGGAGACGGGUUGUGUCUCCUGCGGCCUGUCUCCCCUUCCCAGCCUGCCAGCGAGGCAAAGGAAAACACUUAAGCACUAACUAGGAGGUGUAUUUUACUUGCUCCUCUCAGGCAUGAGGAACCAGCUCCUCCUACUGCUCCAAGUGAAGUCAAUUAUUAGUUUAUUAUUGGUAUAUGGCCGCUAGGAACCAGAGUCAUGGAGCGGAGCUCUAUUGUGCAAGGCGCUGCACAAACACAGAUCAAACAGUCAGAGCCUCAGGCAGCUUAGGAACUCAAUGUAAGACAACAGAGGGGGGGGAGGGGAGAGAAGAACCAAUGUGACAAUAUUGACCAGCAUUAUGGGUAGUGACUUCAGCAAAAGAGCCGCCUACCAGUCAUCAAGUAUCUUUCUAGGCUUCAAAGCUCUCCUAAAAUCCUCCUUUGCCAAGAAGAGAAAUACUGAGGUAGCUUUGCCCAUGUUUCCCCUUCCCCCGCUCCUAAGGCGAGGGGCAACCGGGGGGGGGGGAAAGCGCAAUUGUACCUGUUUAAAAGGUUGUGAGGGCCCGCAGCGUCUAACAGUCUCUAACUAACGGGCAUACCCACAAGUCUUGUAGUCAGAGCUGAAAGACAAACAGC